GACGUAGGGGGCUAGCGUUGUUCGGAUUUACUGGGCGUAAAGGGCGCGUAGGCGGUAGAUCAAGUCAGGUGUGAAAGCCCUGGGCUUAACCCAGGAAUUGCGCUUGAUACUGGUUUACUUGAGGACGAGAGAGGAAAGUGGAAUUCCUAGUGUAGAGGUGAAAUUCGUAGAUAUUAGGAGGAACACCAGAGGCGAAGGCGGCUUUCUGGCUCGUAUCUGACGCUGAGGCGCGAAAGCGUGGGGAGCAAACAGG
rnacentral:rRNA from 1 species